rnacentral:rRNA from 1 species
GAUGAACGCUGGCGGCGUGCCUAAUACAUGCAAGUCGAGCGAACAGACGAGGAGCUUGCUCCUCUGACGUUAGCGGCGGACGGGUGAGUAGCACGUGGAUAACCUACCUAUAAGACUGGGAUAACUUCGGGAAACCGGAGCUAAUACCGGAUAAUAUAUUGAACCGCAUGGUUCAAUAGUGAAAGACGGUUUUGCUGUCACUUAUAGAUGGAUCCGCGCCGCAUUAGCUAGUUGGUAAGGUAACGGCUUACCAAGGCAACGAUGCGUAGCCGACCUGAGAGGGUGAUCGGCCACACUGGAACUGAGACACGGUCCAGACUCCUACGGGAGGCAGCAGUAGGGAAUCUUCGGCAAUGGGCGAAAGCCUGACGGAGCAACGCCGCGUGAGUGAUGAAGGUCUUCGGAUCGUAAAGCUCUGUUAUUAGGGAAGAACAACUGUGUAAGUAACUAUGCACGUCUUGACGGUACCUAAUGAGAAAGCCACGGCUAACUACGUG